CAGAUACCCAAUUAAAUUUGUGUUUCAGAUGAACAACAAAUAAUUGUUUUUAGUAUUAGUAUAUCCUAGGCAAUAUUUGAGACAUACUUAUACUAAAAAUUAUUCUUUAUUUCUCUAAAAUACAAAUUUAAUUGGGUGUGCU
rnacentral:miRNA from 1 species